UUCCAGCUGCAAAAACCUAAACGGUGUCUGUUUGUCUGUCUGUCUGUCUGUCUGCCCUGCGCUGGUGGAUUGUCAGCAAAUGCUUAACUUACAGAGGUACAAUGAAUCCUAUCUUCAUCCUUUCUUACCUCGCAGGCGUCAGUCUGUGUGUUGAGGUCAAUCAGUCUCCCUCCAGUCUCAUCACCCGCGCCGGUUAUAAAGUGCAGAUCUUCUGCACCUAUGAUAAGACCGACUACAGGGUGACGCUGUGGUAUCAGCGCCCAGCUGGAGACACGGCCAUGAACCUGCUGGGGUACCUGAGCUACAAAGACGCCGUCAUGGAGGAGACGCACAAGACGGACUUCAACAUCUCUGGAGAUCUGAGCGUGAACACGUUGAAAAACGCCUCUCUUAUGAUCAGUGCUGCAGAGGAGAAGCACAGUGCUUUCUACUUCUGUGCAGCAAGUAAAGCACAAUGA